rnacentral:rRNA from 1 species
UACGUAGGGCGCAAGCGUUGUCCGGAAUUAUUGGGCGUAAAGAGCUCGUAGGCGGCUUGUCACGUCGGGUGUGAAAGCCCGGGGCUUAACCCCGGGUCUGCAUUCGAUACGGGCAGACUAGAGGUAUGCAGGGGAGAACGGAAUUCCUGGUGUAGCGGUGAAAUGCGCAGAUAUCAGGAGGAACACCAAUGGCGAAGGCAGCACUCUGGGACGUGACUGACGCUGAGACGCGAAAGCGUGGGGAGCAAACAGG